GCUACGCUCAGGCUGCCAGCAGUGACAGCGGCCAGGGCCCUGAUGUGUCUUUCUCGGCUUCUAAAGCGUGAGGCAGCUGCCUUGUGGGGACUAAGUGAUGGAAGAUGUUCCGGCUCCCACUUCCUGACUCAUGAACCUCUGAUUGGGGGGCUGGCUCCGCCCUGCUGCCCACACUUUCCUGUCAGCUGAGCCGGGCUGGGCCCUCUCCAUCACUCUCAUUAUUUCCUGGUGCUCUGAGCUAAAACAACUUUCUCCCAUAUUGAAAAUAGACUCUGAUGUGACUGUGUUCAUUGCUUGCCAUGGAGCGUUGAUGGGUUAAUUAAAGGAGAAGAUUCUAAAGUUUGAGAGGAAAUGGAUGGAAGCACUGAGAACUUUCCAGAAGCCAUGUGUUUGCAGUGCUGAGCCUGUCCCAGGUGGGACAGGGGGGGCUGUGAGGACUGAGUGUGGUCGGGGCCUGUGCAUGGUCAGUGCUCAGAGCAUCAUGGGCUUUGAUGUCACUCCUCAUCUGGGUCACCCCUCUGCUCCUCUGACCUUGUCCCUCAGUGGAACCCUGUCCCACCAGGACCUGUGGUCACAGGAAUUCAGGCCUCCCCCAGGCCUUGUAACUUGUCCUAAUGCAUCAUCUCCAGGACCCUGGACAGCGAGGCCUUCCUGGGCAGGUCAGCCUGAGCUCAAGCCAGGGUCCCGCCCUCCG